rnacentral:rRNA from 1 species
UACGUAGGUGGCAAGCGUUGUCCGGAUUUAUUGGGUUUAAAGGGUGCGUAGGCGGUCCUAUAAGUCAGUGGUGAAAUACUCUAGCUUAACUAGAGGGGUGCCAAUGAUACUGUAGGACUUGAGUACAGAUGAGGUAGGCGGAAUUGACGGUGUAGCGGUGAAAUGCAUAGAUAUCGUCAAGAACACCUAUAGCGAAGGCAGCUUACUGGGCUGUAACUGACGCUGAGGCACGAAAAGUGUGGGGAUCAAACAGG